UGCGUAGGCGGGCUAAUAAGUCAGUGGUGAAAUCUCUCGGCUCAACCGGGAAACUGCCAUUGAUACUGUUAGUCUUGAGUUCGGUUGAGGUAGACGGAAUGUGUAAUGUAGCGGUGAAAUGCUUAGAUAUUACACAGAACACCAAUUGCGUAGGCAGCUUACUAGACCGACACUGACGCUGAGGCACGAAAGCGUGGGGAGCGAACAGGAUUAGAUACCCUGGUAGUCC
rnacentral:rRNA from 1 species